AUGGAGCCAACCCAAUGGUGGUUUCAAUUUGGAGGGGAUGUUCCUGCAUUGCAGAAGUGUGCAAUGAGAAUUUGCUCACAAUGUGUCUCAUCUAGUGGGUGUGAGAGGAACUGGAGCGCCUUUGCUUUGGUGCACACAAAGCAAAGAAAUCGCCUUUUAUAUGACAAGCUCCACAAGCUAGUUUCUGUCCGCUACAACCUAAAGAUACGUGCUGAAGAAGAUCAAGAGAAAGAGAGAGAUAUAGAUAAAGAGGUUGAUCCAAGUGCAUUGCUGAUAGAUACAACAAUGUUCGAUGAGACAAAUCCAAUAAUGGAGUGGCUGAAUGAGGAUGAAGAGGAUCCAAUUUUGGAUGGAGCCGAUGCGGCCAGUGCUGUUUUUGAGAAAAUAAGGCGCCUCAACUCAAGCAGGAAGGAUUCUUAUGUUGGUACAAAGGCUAAUAAGAAGAAAAGAAAGAGGAAUCAUGAUGAGGAGAAUGAGUAUGUCGAAACUGACAGUGAGGAUGACGACAACGAGAAUGAAUAUGUUGAUAAUGAGAGUGAGGAUGAUGAUGGGGUGAGUGAGGAUGAUGAGGAUGAUCAACAAGAUCAGCAAGAAACACAAAUGCAAGUGGAAGAAGAGACACAAGUACAAGUUGAAAAGGAGACACAAGCAAGCAUUGGCAAUUUGGAGACUCGUAGAUCUGGACGACUAGUUAGGAAGAAGACCAAGGAAAUCAACAGCCUCUACUCGUAG
rnacentral:rRNA from 1 species